rnacentral:rRNA from 1 species
AGUCUGCAACUCGACUGCAUGAAGCUGGAAUCGCUAGUAAUCGCGAAUCAGCAUGUCGCGGUGAAUACGUUCCCGGGUCUUGUACACACCGCCCGUCACACCAUGGGAGUCGGAAAUGCCCGAAGCCAGUGACCCAACCUUUAAGGAGGGAGCUGUCGAAGGCAGGUCUGGUAACUGGGGUGAAGUCGUAACAAGGUACC